CUCUCGCCGCCUCUGUGCGCCCGCGGGGCCGCCUCGGUGCCCGUUUACUGCGCGCGGCAGCCACUCUGGAGCCGGCGCACAUCUGGAUGGAGUCAGGCCCAGCGCCCGGGCCGGCGCCCAGCCAGUCCCCACCCGCUGGAUUUCCUGAUGUAAACAGAGCAAGAACACAGCAACUCUGCUGAAUGUGUCACGCGGCGCUCUUUAUCUGCUUGGGGUCAAGACGGCGACUUAGAAAAACAGAAGCGUUGCUUUGAAUUUAAACAGCUAAGAGCCAGAGCCGAGACUGGUCUGCAGGGGGGAGGGCGAAGGCCUCCAGACCCACCUCCCGCUUUUGUGCCUACUUGUUCCACUUGAUGGCAUGAUUUGUUUCCUUAGGAAUUCCUUCUAUAGUACUUGGAGCUUUGUGGAUAAAGCACCAGUCAGAGCCGCCCUGUGGAAAUGGAGCAAAGAGUUGAAAUGUGAUUCCCAACCUGGAGUGGAUGCUCUUUUCACGCUCAGCUGGGUCUCUAACUCCUGAAAUAUUAAUCUGACAUAGGACAAGUACCAUCCAGGGAUGUGAAAAAUCCAGCCUGAGGCCCCAAACAGAGUGGGGCCUGCUCUCUGGGCAGAUCCAGAGCUCCUGAAGAUGAAAACCUCGUAAGCCAACUGUGGACUCGGUGCUUUGCUGCAAGAGGAUUCAUUUGAGCUAUAAUAAAAAGUAGUGUGUUUAUUUAACCCCUGU
rnacentral:lncRNA from 1 species